UACGUAGGUGGCAAGCGUUGUCCGGAUUUACUGGGCGUAAAGAGCGCGCAGGCGGUCGUUCAAGUCGUGUGUGAAAGCCCCCGGCUCAACUGGGGAGGGUCACGCGAUACUGAUCGACUCGAAGGCAGGAGAGGGUAGUGGAAUUCCCGGUGUAGUGGUGAAAUGCGUAGAUAUCGGGAGGAACACCAAUGGCGAAGGCAGCUUGCUGGGACGGUACUGACGCUGAGGCGCGGAAAGCGUGGGGAGCAAACAGGG
rnacentral:rRNA from 1 species